rnacentral:rRNA from 1 species
AUUGAACGCUGGCGGCAUGCCUUACACAUGCAAGUCGAACGGCAGCACGGGUGCUUGCACCUGGUGGCGAGUGGCGAACGGGUGAGUAAUACAUCGGAACGUACCUUAUCGUGGGGGAUAACGCAGCGAAAGCUGUGCUAAUACCGCAUACGCCCUGAGGGGGAAAGCGGGGGAUCGAAAGACCUCACGCGACUAGAGCGGCCGAUGCCUGAUUAGCUUGUUGGUGGGGUAAAAGCCCACCAAGGCGACGAUCAGUAGCUGGUCUGAGAGGACGAUCAGCCACACUGGGACUGAGACACGGCCCAGACUCCUACGGGAGGCAGCAGUGGGGAAUUUUGGACAAUGGGGGCAACCCUGAUCCAGCAAUGCCGCGUGAGUGAAGAAGGCCUUCGGGUCGUAAAGCUCUUUUGUCAGGGAAGAAACACCGGCUCUAACACAGUCCGGGAAUGACGGUACCUGAAGAAUAAGCACCGGCUAACUACGUGCCAGCCGCCGCCGCUG